UACGAAGGGUGCAAACGUUGCUCGGAAUCAUUGGGCGUAAAGCGCACGUAGGCGGCGCUGCAAGUCGGACGUGAAAUCCCUCGGCUCAACCGAGGACGUGCAUCCGAAACUGCAGUGCUCGAGUAUGGAAGAGGGUCGCGGAAUUCUCGGUGUAGAGGUGAAAUUCGUAGAUAUCGGGAGGAACACCAGUGGCGAAGGCGGCGACCUGGGCCAAUACUGACGCUGAGGUG
rnacentral:rRNA from 1 species